GACGAACGCUGGCGGCGUGCCUAAUACAUGCAAGUCGAGCGGACUGAAUGGGAGCUUGCUCUUGUUCGGUCAGCGGCGGACGGGUGAGUAACACGUGGACAACCUGCCCGCAAGACCGGGAUAACUCCGGGAAACCGGAGCUAAUACCGGAUAACACCGAAGACCGCAUGGUCUUUGGUUGAAAGGCGGCGCAAGCUGCCACUUGCGGAUGGGCCCGCGGCGCAUUAGCUAGUUGGUGAGGUAACGGCUCACCAAGGCGACGAUGCGUAGCCGGCCUGAGAGGGUGACCGGCCACACUGGGACUGAGACACGGCCCAGACUCCUACGGGAGGCAGCAGUAGGGAAUCUUCCGCAAUGGGCGAAAGCCUGACGGAGCGACGCCGCGUGAGCGAAGAAGGCCUUCGGGUCGUAAAGCUCUGUUGUGAGGGACGAAGGAGCGCCGUUUGAAGAAGGCGGCGCGGUGACGGUACCUCACGAGGAAGCCCCGGCUAACUACGUG
rnacentral:rRNA from 1 species